AUAGGUCAAAGGUUUUCUUCCGGGGCGGAUUGGUUGCUGCUGACAGAUGCGUCGUUUGGGGGCGUGACCAGCAUAAGGAGGAGCUCCUUGUAUACUGAUUUUUUCCAUUUGAAUUCUUUCCAGUAGAAGAAGCAGUCAUAUGGAAAAGGACAAACGAUGAUGAAUACCAACUGGUUAAAGCAUUCCUGUGAGAUCCCAGUACUCAGGGGCUGGACCAAGCGAUCUGCUGUGAAAUGGACUCGUCAUCCACAAGCUCUGAGGAGCUUGCAUUCUUCUUCCCUUUCCCUGAUGCCUCUGUAAUUCUCCUGUGAGUUAUUAAAAUCUCCCUCCUGGC